rnacentral:piRNA from 1 species
UAUAAAUAAAAUUUUAGUGAAUGUGGA